AUUGAACGCUGGCGGCAGGCUUAACACAUGCAAGUCGAGCGAGCGGCGGACGGGUGAGUAAUGUCUGGGAAACUGCCUGAUGGAGGGGGAUAACUACUGGAAACGGUAGCUAAUACCGCAUACCAUCAGAUGUGCCCAGAUGGGAUUAGCUAGUAGGUGGGGUAAUGGCUCACCUAGGCGACGAUCCCUAGCUGGUCUGAGAGGGUGACCAGCCACACUGGAACUCAGCCACGGUCCAGACUCCUACGGAGGGCAGCAGUGGGGAAUAUUGCACAAUGGGCGCAAUCCUGAUGCAGCCAGGCCGCGUGUAUGAAGAAGGCCUUCGGAUUGUAAAGUACUUUCAGCGAGGAGGCGUUACUCGCAGAAGAAGCACCGGCUAACUCCGUGCCAGCCGCCGCGGUAAUAC
rnacentral:rRNA from 1 species